rnacentral:misc_RNA from 1 species
GUGAAUCAUCAAAUUUUUGAACGCAAAUUGCACUUUCUGGUAUUCCGGAGAGUAUGCCUGUUUGAGGGUCAGUUAAAUUAAAAUCGGGGUUGUUGCUACCCGUUCUUGUUUGUGAUGCAUCGGAGUUGCGUCGUUCUUUCCCUUUGGUGUACGUGACUUAAAAUUAUGUUCUAUCUUUCAACGUAUUUAAAUUAUUACUUACUUUCGUAUUACCACUU